CGGUAACACGUAAGCAACCUGCCCCAAAGACCGGGACAACGUUCCGAAAGGAGCGCUAAUACCGGAUGUGCCCAUUGUGCGACAUCGCGCGGUGAGUAAAUCGAGCAAUCGGCUUUGGGAGGGGCUUGCGGCCUAUCAGCUAGAUGGUGGGGUAACGGCCUACCAUGGCGACGACGGGUAGCUGGUCUGAGAGGAUGGUCAGCCGGAUUGGGACUGAGAUACGGCCCAG
rnacentral:rRNA from 1 species